AGGGGAGGAGGGGGCGGGUGUAAUUUGUUUUAAACCACCCGGUAUUGUUUCUCUGGAGGAAAACUCAACAUGAUAUUCCUGCAUUGUGUCUCUAGCUGGAUGCAGAGUCUUACCGGAGAUCUGAGUCAGCGGAGCGGUGCCAGUGCUGUACCCCUUCUCCGCGUACACCUGCCGGGUGUCGGCGCAGCUCCUCCCCGCAGCAGCCACGGGGCUCCGGGUCCCCGACAGCGCACAGACCGCGCAGAGCAGCACCAGCAGCGGGUACCUGGAGGAAGAUUGCCGGGUAUUCAUCCUCACCAGGGAAAAGCAGGCAGUAGAGGAGAGGACGGUUUUAUGUGAAACCAGACGGGUGCAGCACCUUUUUAUAAAUGAAUGAAUGAAUGAACGGCCGGUUUAGAUGCACGCAAAAGUAAAAACAGUAUCCCAAAUCGUCAGUCGUUUAAAAGAGUCAUAGUUUUCCCCGAUAAGUGCAGCGAGCAGACGCAUCCGGGCUGGUUUUUAUAUCACACAUAUGUCUCCAUCCACCGUGUCCUGUUCAUUUGUCCUUCCUGGGAGAUCCGCUGUUGUGCGUAAAUGUAAAGGGAGUGUGAAUGGGGCACUCCCGUCCCUCAGCCUCAUCUAACAACCCCAACUGAGGCAAGUGUGCAGGGGUGAGCAGGAGGACACCGGAAAUGGGACUGAUUUCAAAAUAAAAGCAAAAGCAAGUCUGAGGUUUUUCAACAAAGCACUAUACGAAAUGUAAAAGAAACACAAGACUCACAAACAUGUUUUUAAAAGAGUAAAAUUAAAUGGCAAAUAAAAAUUUGCUUUUACUACUGUA